CGCCGCAUGUGGUCGUCGUCGAUGACGUCGGCCACCGGUGUGAAGUUGGCUGCAAAGGCGUCAGCCAGGACGCUGGCUUUCGCGUCGGGGAUCGACCCAGGACGUUACAGUGAGCCAUAAUGGACCGCGAAGUAGAUGUCAGGUUGCGACAACGGUCGGUGAUGGAGUUCCUCUUCAAGACCGGCGAUGACUCGGCCACAACGAUUCACAGGAAGCUGCUCCCUGUUUAUGGGGAGGACACAGUGGAUCGCAGCAGUAUCCAGCGGUGGUUGCAGAGGUUCAAAGAAGGUUUGAAUAAAGGAGACCCCCUGACGAUGGCACAAAGGCGCUGAAACAUGUUUGGAUCUAAAUGAAGAAACUGUAUUUUACAUAACAGGCUGAAGUUAUAUUCAGUAAUUUUAUCUGCAAACACGGUCAAUGCAAGAGCAGCAAAACCAAAUGAUGAAUAAAUUUCUUAAA